UGCCAUGGUUUAACUUCUUAACGUGUGUAAAGAGAACUGAAUAAAUGUAGCCUAAGGCGCCAGUUAGAUAGAAAAACUAUGUAUUAUACUAGCCAGAUCUCCAAAUUUAAUCUCAUUUAUCUGUCAUCUUUACACAUUUGUAUAAUAAGCCAAGAGGGGCUGCAAAAGGUGAAAGUGAAAUAAAAAUGUAUGUUGUACUGAUAAUGAUCCUUAAUACUGUUGUCAUCCAUGAGCAUUGCAACCAUGGUGAUUGUGCUGCACGGCUUAAGCUUACCUAUCUGUCAUGAUCACGGAGGAGUUUGUGUGUAGCUUCGUUUCCUUAUCCAUCGUGUUCAAACUUGCUGCAGCUUAACAUGAAAAGUCAGUCCUCUCCUCCUGCUCAUUCCUUAAAUGCUAGUCAGCAGGCGUUGGCCAGAUCAGUGCACCCUUCAGAGUCCAUUACAGAUGUUUGUACAGCUUGUAAUAUUAAUAUAUUUGUAGAAUACAGCUAAAACAUUGUGUCUGUGUCUUUUCAAGCAACCCACAUGCUGAAAAUGCAGAUGUAAUAAUUGAUCAUAAAGUAUUUGAACUGUUAAUGACACAAUGCCUAUCUUCCAUUAGUUUUAACCCUAUUGUAAAGAUACAAAUCAACACAGAUGUGUUGUUUCUGCCAAUAAUCAGCAUGUAUAUUCUUAUUUGAGCAGAUUUAGUCAGCACACACAUAACAUAAACACAGAAAAAUACAAAUUACACAAGCAAACCAUAGACAUGAACUUAUCAUUGAUGUAAAAAAAAAUGCAGAAUUUCAGGAGGGAGUAUAAGCUGUACAAUCACUCAACAGCCCUACUGUCCUGUAUAGUAAAUGGAAACUGCACUGAUGACAGAGCAGGUGGCAGCCCAGAUGCAUUGCAGUGAUUGUCGUGUUUAGGGCUGCAACAACGAAUCGAUAAAAUCGAUAAUAAUCGAUUAUUAAAAGCGUUGGCAACGAAUUUCAUUCUCGAUUCGUUGUGUCGCGCGAUUCAUGCGUCACUCGCCAUGUCGCGGAGCGUCUACUCCACCUGCAGAGCUUUGUCAAUGCUGGCUGACGGAAAUAAAGUUUGUUUUUUUAAAUAACUCCACCUGUAGAGCGAGUUGAACAGAGCGAGGUGGCGGCAAAGCGAAACUAAAUUCAGAGUAAUUUCAACGAAACAUGACCGACACGGAGAAAACAGUUAGACCGAAAUCCUCAAAAGUGUGGGAGCAUUUCACGCUUCACAAAACAAAAAACAUGCGUAGCAUGCAAGCUUUACAAAAGUGAUAUGAUGUACGGGAGCACCACGAUGACGAUGCAGCACCUGAAACGGAAACACGUUGGAGUCUCCGAUGAGGAUGAAGGAGCUCAACAGCAGCAAAAAAUGACAGGCUUCAUGAUGAGAAAGACAUCAUGUCCACCACAGCAAGCAGCUGUUCUGACUCCUCAACAUGAUGGUCACUGACACGAGGCCUCUGUCGAUGGUUGAAGACGAAGGCUUCGCUACAAUGAUCUUAUUUGCUCUGUCAGUCCAAAUCUUCUCUUUCUGAAUAAAGCGGCGGAAAUUAAAAA